AAAUGCGAUAAGUAAUGUGAAUUGCAGAAUUCAGUGAAUCAUCGAAUCUUUGAACGCACCUUGCGCUCCUUGGUAUUCCUUGGAGCAUGCCUGUUUGAGUAUCAUGAAAUCUUCAAAGUAAAUCUUUUGUUAACUCAAUUGGUUUCUACUUUGGUAUUGGAGGUCUUUGCAGCUUCACACCUGCUCCUCUUUGUUCAUUAGCUGGAUCUCAGUGUUAUGCUUGGUUCCACUCGGCGUGAUAAGUUAUCUAUCGCUGAGGACACUGUAAAAGGUGGCCAAGGUAAAUGCAGAUGAACCGCUUCUAAUAGUCCAUUGACUUGGACAAUACUUUUAUGAUCUGAUCUCAAAUCAGGUAGGACUACCCGCUGAACUUAGGC
rnacentral:misc_RNA from 1 species